UUUGUUUGUAAGUUUUUUUUAGAGAGAGAGUGAGAGAGAGAGAUGAGAGAAAGUCUCUUGAUUGCUAGGGAUUUUAUCUUUGUUCUUCAUCUCUCAAAUUCCUGAUUUGAGAAUUGUGAUUUGUAGUAUUUAGUCUCUGAAUUGUGAUAAUCUGAGUGAAUGUUUGCAAGAAUGAGAGGAUUCUUUUGAGUUGUUAUUUUAGAGCGGUUUGAGAAGAUUCUUGGUAACUCUUCAUGGAUCGGACAUUGUUCUUGAGAGAUAAGUGUUCUUGUGCUAUCUCAGUGUAUUGGUUAAAUAUUUGUAAUAUUUGUUGCCAUUUUUUGGUUAUUUAGUGCAAUCGAGUAUAAUCCAAUUUAUAAGAUGCUCAACGGGGAAUGUAGGUAGUGGAUAUGAUAGCCGAACUUUUGGGGUUUAGGUCGAAAAUAGUCUCUUGUACUCAAUCUUUAAAUUCUGCACAUUUUAUUUUUUGUAAGAUCAUUUUAUUUUGCUUCUCAACACUAAUACUGGAUGAACCUAACCUUACAAAUCCACAUCAAGAUGGGCCAAAAAAGGCCAGAGAGCAAUGUGACGAACUUUUCUCGACUGACCACAAAAGCCAAGCCAACAUGAGUACGUAAGCAGGCAAUCCAUGGCCUCUAUUCAAGUGCCUUGGAUUCUGUCUACUCCCCUAACUAUAUAUUUACUUUUUCUUUUGUUAUUUUAUGACCUAAAUUUCGUUGGAUGUUUGUGGAUUUGUUGAAAGAGGUGCUAAAAGAAGUUUUGAAAUAGACAUUGGGCACUUGGAAUCAAUUUGGACCGAAAUUCAGCUUCAUUGACGCGCUAUCGCUGCUGCUUGCCCAUAGCUGGAGCGCUGCUCGCUUGGGUCGAGGUUGUUACUAAAACGACAUGUAUAUUCGAGGAAAAUUUAUUUAUUUCUUUUGACACGAUUUUUUUUAUCCUCUUUCCAUCCAAAAUUUUUUUUUUUUUGGGAUCCUAUAUAUAAUCCAUGUGAUUCUUGGUUUUGACAUAACUUUCUAUGAGUUAGAAUUAAGUUAGAAACUAAAUAUUUUGUAUUUG
rnacentral:lncRNA from 1 species